UUCGAGGCUACAGUGAGAUGUG
rnacentral:miRNA from 1 species